UACGAAGGGGGCUAGCGUUGCUCGGAAUCACUGGGCGUAAAGCGCACGUAGGCGGGUCGUUAAGUCGGGGGUGAAAUCCUGGAGCUCAACUCCAGAACUGCCUUCGAUACUGGCGAUCUUGAGUCUGGGAGAGGUGAGUGGAACUCCGAGUGUAGAGGUGAAAUUCGUAGAUAUUCGCAAGAACACCAGUGGCGAAGGCGGCUCACUGGCCCGGUACUGACGCUGAGGUGCGAAAGCGUGGGGAGCAAACAGG
rnacentral:rRNA from 1 species